CCUACGGGAGGCAGCAGUGGGGAAUAUUGCACAAUGGGCGAAAGCCUGAUGCAGCAACGCCGCGUGAGCGAUGAAGGCCUUCGGGUCGUAAAGCUCUGUUCUCAAGGAAGAUAAUGACGGUACUUGAGGAGUAACCCCCGGCAAACUACGUACCAGCAGCCGGGGUAAUACGUCGUGGGCUCGCGUGAUACGGAAUUACUGGGCGUAAGGUGGGCGUAGCGGGUUUCUUAAGUCAGAGGUGAAAGGCUAGGGCUAAACCGGAGUAAGCCUUUGAAACUGGGGAACUUGAGUGCAGGAGAGGAGAGUGGAAUUCCUGGUGUAGCGGUGAAAUGCGUAGAUAUCAGGAGGAACACCAGUUGCGAAGGCGGCUUUCUGGCCUGUAACUGACACUGAGGCACGAAAGCGUGGGUAGCAAACAGGAUUAGAUACCCCUGUAGUC
rnacentral:rRNA from 1 species